rnacentral:rRNA from 1 species
AGCGAACGCUGGCGGCAGGCCUAACACAUGCAAGUCGAACGAACCCUUCGGGGUUAGUGGCGGACGGGUGAGUAACACGUGGGAACGUGCCUUUAGGUUCGGAAUAACUCAGGGAAACUUGUGCUAAUACCGAAUGUGCCCUUCGGGGGAAAGAUUUAUCGCCUUUAGAGCGGCCCGCGUCUGAUUAGCUAGUUGGUGAGGUAAUGGCUCACCAAGGCUACGAUCAGUAGCUGGUCUGAGAGGAUGACCAGCCACAUUGGGACUGAGACACGGCCCAAACUCCUACGGGAGGGAGCAGUGGGGAAUCUUGCGCGAUGGACGAAAGCCUGACGCAGCCAUGCCGCGUGGAUGAUGAAGGUCUUAGGAUUGUAAAAUCCUUUCACCGGUGAAGAUAAUGACUGUAGCCGGAGAAGAAGCCCCGGCUAACUUCGUGCCAGCAGCCGCCGUAAUAC